rnacentral:rRNA from 1 species
GACGAACCGUGCUAACGUUGUUCGGAAUCACUGGGCUUAAAGGGCGCGUAGGCGGUCCAUCAAGUCAGGGGUGAAAUCCUCCAGCUCAACUGGAGAAGUGCCUUUGAUACUGGCGGACUCGAGCGAGGUAGGGGCAGAUGGAACUCCGGGUGGAGCGGUGAAAUGUGUAGAUAUCCGGAGGAACGCCGGUGGCGAAAGCGAUCUGCUGGACCUCUUCUGACGCUGAGGCGCGAAAGCCAGGGGAGCAAACGGG